rnacentral:lncRNA from 1 species
AUGCUUAUCUACAAGAUGAUUGAUUGGUGCAACAUGACUCCAGGAAGUAGACAUCUAGUGGAUGAGAUGCUUCACAGCAUUUUCUUUCUGGGAAUGGUCAACAACGCCCCCUACACCCCAGAAAAUAUUAUAGAUGACAAGGACAUGUUGACCAAAUUGAAGGAGAAAUAUCCCAGGCCUUUUGAGUUCUACUUGACUCAACUGCCCAAGCGUGGUCCUUUCUCCUGUGUCAUGGACAUGAUAGUCCUGCAGAAAGGACAAGAGAAUGAAAACCAUAUCAAGCAGAGUCUGAUUGAUCUCAAAAGGAGCUGAAUGAGAAGUUUCUGGUCUCAUCCACCAUCUGUAUCUCCCAGAUAUCAGAGGAUUCUCCCAG